rnacentral:pre_miRNA from 1 species
AUAAUACUCCCUCCGUCCGGAAAUACUUGUCCUAAAAAUGGAUGUAUCUAGACUUAUUUUAGUUAUACAUACAUCCAUUUUAUCCAUUUCGAGGACAAGUAUUUUCGGACGGAGGGAGUAUUUU